rnacentral:misc_RNA from 1 species
GAUGAAGAACGCAGCGAAAUGCGAUACGUAACGUGAAUUGCAAAUUCAGUGAAUCAUCGAGUCUUUGAACGCACAUUGCGCCCCCUGGUAUUCCGGGGGGCAUGCCUGUCCGAGCGUCAUUGCUGCCCUCAAGCACGGCUUGUGUGUUGGGCCCCGUCCUCCGAUUCCGGGGGACGGGCCCGAAAGGCAGCGGCGGCACCGCGUCCGGUCCUCGAGCGUAUGGGGCUUUGUCACCCGCUCUGUAGGCCCGGCCGGCGCUUGCCGAUCAACCCAAAUUUUUAUCCAGGUUGACCUCGGAUCAGGUAGGGAUACCCGCUGAACUUAAGCAUAUCAAUAAGCGGAGGA